AAUAUCAUGGGUGUCUCGCUGCGAUCUCUUAAUUGUUUUUUUUUGGCUUUUGUCUCUUUUUGUACUUAAUUGUUCUGUUUUUCUUGAGGUAGAGAGGUGAGAGAGAGGGAGAGAGAGAGAAAAUGGCGGUUCUUUGGGCCCAGAGCCAAAAGCCCACUAGGGCCGUUCAAUGAUUGACUGCCUUGCUCACAUCACAUUUAUGAUUUUUAUCUCCCUCUUAUCAGAAAAAAAGAUUCGCCAGAGAUUACAGGAGGUGGUGAGAAAAAAAAAAAUAAAAAAUACAGAGAAGAAUGGAGGAGAUAAAGAGUCUCAGUCACAGGAACGUGCUUUAUCAAACCCAUUCCCAAAAUGCGAUAAUGUACUAUCUCUCAGAAACUAUUAACUUCGCUCCACUCCUCAAGAACCCUAAAUAUAAACUUGAAAAACAACGAGCGCUUUCUCUUCACUCUGUACUUCUUAUUCUUCUCCGCUAUAGUUUCUUCUCUUCGCUCUGGUAAGUAUCUAUCUGGAACUUCACAAGUUCUAUUUCUUCUCUUAAGCUUGAAUAAGUGGCGAUGAAUGUAGAUUCGAGGUUCCUGUUUGAGUGCUGUAAAAAGUGAGGAAAAGGGGAGGGAAACUCAUUAUUUUGGCCGCAUAACUUUUGCUGGUUUUGUUUCCACUUUUUUACCUUUAGCCAUACAAGUUGACCAAACAACCAAGCGUGUAUCUGUUUGCGUUUGCGUUGAUUACUUCCAUUGAGAUUUUCUUUUUCUAUUGUUUUUGAAGUUCUGCAUCAAGUGUUACAGAAUGGUAUUCUAAAGUGGAAUUACAGUCCGGUGCCUAAUUUUAUUUUUGUUUACAAAUUUUAUAUUUAAUUAUUGUUGAUAGAUGUUCUAUUCAAAUUUGUUGUUUGGCCUUUUAGUAAUUUACAGCCUUUUUCAAAUUUUUGUACAUGUUGAUUUCUUCUAGGUCCCUUCUGUACUAAUUUUCUUUCCAUUUUCAAAUUUCUAAAUCUAAUUUUGUAUUCUUGUUGAUGUGUAGAAUUGUUCCAGUCACUCAUACUUUGAAUUCUUUGGUUAAGCUUUUCUAAUUUCUAUUCUUGAAUGGGUAUUAGAAAUCGCACCCCGAGAGAAAAAUACUGAGGUGAGAUUAGUUGUGGUUCAAAUAGGAAAACCAUGAUGUAAUUUACUUGCAGAUACUAAUUGAAGAAUUAAGUGUAGGGAGUAACUAGGAAUAUAAUGGGCAUUUAAUCGAAAUGGGUAUUGAUGUUUAAUGUAACCCAUGCAAUUGUUUUGUGUUCAUAAUUGUUUUACUGAAUUUAAGAGCAUUUCUUUGUUAAUUGAGAAAACCCAAAUGCGAAGUGAAAUGAAUAUCACUUUGGUAGCCAACUGAAUGAACUUGAGCAAGCCUGUGGUACUGAAGUAACGAUUUUUUUUCUAAUGUUUGCUUACCCAUGAAAUAUAGGUUCUCCUGUUCUUUCGGUUUCUGAAAAUUAUUGUUGUAACAGCUCUCUGUGGCUUUUGCUUUUGAGAAUUUACUCCGGGGUAUACAGUGUCCAAGAUCUGCUGUAGUCGGUGUUUGGAUUGUGUUGAUCUUUCUCUACCUGUUUCACCACAUCGGUGUUGCAAGCUGUAUGUCAAUGGAAAGCUCAGAAAUAUCUAGUUCUGCUGUUCACUUUGCUGUGAAGAAGAAGAGGAGCUGUUCAUCUUAUCGUCCUCGCAAUAUUUCAGAGGCUUUAGAUAGCUAUAUUUUUCUACCACCAUCAACACAACCUGUCAGCAGUCUCAGCAAUGUGGAAAAUCAAAAUUGCAGGGAUAGAAUGGCCAGUUUGGAAGGGUCGGGAGGUGAGAACAAGCUUAAGCUUAAGCUGAAGUUUGGUGGUGUAACUCAUACAAUCCACACCAAGCCCACAGUAGAUUUUCUUGAUGGUGGUUCGGCCGUUUAAAACCCUCUCACUAUUUUGAGAUGCCUCCUUCACAACGAAAGCCACUUUAUCAGGUAUCUUUCUUUUUUUUGGAGUAAUCAUUCGCAGGUAGUUUUGACUGAUUUUUAUGAUCAUUUUUUUUCUUCCUUUAACCACUAUCUAAGCUCGAAUAUCUAGUUUUGCUUUUGUAGAAACCAACUGAUGUAGGCAGAAUAUGAAGUACUGCAAGUAGGAAGAAAAUAUAGAAUGGAGGAAGAAAAUAGGAGAGGAAAGGAAGGAAAAGAUAGGAAAUAGCAAGAAAAGGGAGAACUGGAGAUNNNNNNNNNNNNNNNNNNNNNNNNNNNNNNNNNNNNNNNNNNNNNNNNNNNNNNNNNNNNNNNNNNNNNNNNNNNNNNNNNNNNNNNNNNNNNNNNNNNNNNNNNNNNNNNNNNNNNNNNNNNNNNNNNNNNNNNNNNNNNNNNNNNNNNNNNNNNNNNNNNNNNNNNNNNNNNNNNNNNNNNNNNNNNNNNNNNNNNNNNNNNNNNNNNNNNNNNNNNNNNNNNNNNNNNNNNNNNNNNNNNNNNNNNNNNNNNNNNNNNNNNNNNNNNNNNNNNUUCCAUUAAAGGUGAUGGAAUAAAAAGGGUUGUGAUUGGAUACCAUACACGGUAUAUUUUAACUAAGAAUUUGAUUUGACUGAACCUGGUUUUUGAUUUGGUUCUUCAAGAAAACAAGUUGAUGCUAACAAUAAUGAAGAACAAUGUGAUCAUGGCAGCAAAAAAAAUUGGCUAUGGAAAAUACAACAGAAAACUAGAUUUUGUGGAUGUUCAUUAUUUUGAUGAUUCCAUUAUUGUACUCGGAUCAUUGACGACAUAGUUUUCUGAAUCACCAAAUAGAGGUGCUUGUGGAUAGGAAACUAAAAUCUCUCUCUUUCUCUUGCUCUCCCACAAUGUGGUGCAAGUUACGGGGCUAAUAUAGAAAAUUGUAGAGUGAGCUGUUUCCAUGUGGAGCAUCUAUUCGGAGGGCUUUAUCAGCCAGUUAUCUUGGCUGAUCUAAUCCUUGUCAUAUUUCUUGGUCUCACCCGGGCAGUUUCUUAGUGAUUUGAAAUCCUUAGAUGUGGUUCUAAAGUGAGGUAAAUGACUGCUCAGGCAUCUUUCUCUUAACAGACAUUCUUUAAUUUUUUGGAUGCUUUUAAUAAUAUUACUUUUUUGUUGAUGGCCUUUUAAAAAACUUACUGCUGCAGGAUGCAAAAGGAAGCAGUUAUUGUUGUCCUCCAUAUAAGGGGAAAAGUUCCGGAGUGCGAUGGAAAGAUAUUUCAAAACCUAGCUCAAAUUCUGGAAAGGGCUAUUUGUCGAGGGGAAAGACAUACGGGGAAAGUAUUUCUGUGAAUGGAACAUACAUGUCUAAGCCGGUUCGUAAGAGCAAGCGUGUGCCUAAGAGGCGUGUCUUGGAUGUGGGUUUCAAUGAUGGUGAUGAUGAUGAAGAUGAGGAAAUUCGGUACCUUGGAAGACUCAAUGCUUCAAGUGUGACUGCAGAUUAUGAAAAUAGUGGAGAUGAAAUAAGCAAGACGGGGGAGGGAAUAUACGAGGACAAAGACUACAUGGAGGAAGAGGAACCCACUUCUGAUGAUGAACCUGGAUCCAAAAGGAAAAAGACAUGGAAGGAUUCAGUUGAUUUAUUUUUAGAAGGAAGAAAUGAAUCAACUCCCACUACACGUCAUCGAACCCUUCAGUCUAGUAAAGAUGUUUUAUCUGGCUGUUUUACCGGUCUACUUGAAUUCCCAGAUGGUUUGCCUCCUGCUCAACCUAAAAGUAAGCAGCUCUUUCUCGUAUGCCUCUUCUUGAAAACUUUAUGACCUUCUUUUAUUUGUGAUACUAUUCUGGUUGUUCAUUAUUGUAUCAAUUCAUAAUGGAAGUAUGUCUUUAUUCCUAUGCUCUUGGUUGGUGACAGAACAAAAGGAGAAACUGUCUGAAUUAGAACAACAACUGAAGAAAGCUGAAGCUGCACAAAGACGUAGGAUGCAAUCAGAAAAAGCAGCCAGGGAGGCUGAGGUACGCCUGCAUAUUAUCAUUUAGUUUUGCAUUAUUGCUUGAUGCAGAGUUGGGCAGAGGCUUACUUUCUGUUUUCAGGCUGAGGCUAUCAGAAAAAUACUUGGUCAAGAUUCGGGGAGAAAGAAGAGGGAAGAAAAGAUGAAAAAACAGCAGAAUGAGCUCACACAGGUAUUCACAAACAGAACACUGAAUUUUUUUUUUUCCCGAGUGCAGCUUGGUUCUUUUUUCUUUGUGUUAUAGCUGAAGCAAUCUUUAUUCUACAUCAGGGGAAGGACAAGUCUCACACACUUGCACCAAAUACUAUCAGAUGUGUUAUUGGUCCUACUGGAACCACUGUUACAUUCUCAGAAGACAUUGGUCUACCGAAUCUAUUCAGUUCACUGUCAGGCCGGUAAGUUCAAUAUUUUUAAACAGAAUCCAAAAGCUUCUUUUAUAUUUUUCAUUCAUUAUAUGUGAUGUCAUUUUGGUACUGAUGAUUAUUUUCUCUACAAUCCGACUCGGUUCUCUCUUCUCUUCUCAGUUAUCCACCACCACGCGAGAAAUGUGCAGGUCCAAACUGUACAAAUACAUACAAAUACCGAGAUUCCAAGUCGAAGCUUCCGCUCUGCAGUCUACGCUGUUAUAAGGCAAUACAUGGUAAAAUGCAGGCUUUAAUUGCCUGUUGAGUGCUGAUUGUGUAACCAUUUUAUCCGGGUGUGCUAGAAGGCAUUGUCAGGAUAUUUUGUGUAUUCUGGAUGAAGGGAUGAUACCCUUNNNNNNNNNNNNNNNNNNNNNNNNNNNNNACAAAAGAAAAAGUAUGUUAGACCUGCAUGAAAGGAUAAAUUUAUCUUUUAGUCAGAAACUGAAGGAUGGUUUUCUAAAACUAGUGUGGUAAUGCUCUGGCAAAUGAUAUGUAUUUUAUAUAUAAUCAAGAAUAUUUGACGCAUAUUAUAUAACACUCGGUAAAAUAACUAAGGAGUCUGAGUUUGAAUCCUACAUCCACGUCUCUUAGAAAAAAAAAGUAGAUAUAAGACAUGAUUAUCAUCGCAAACAAAUGAAUGGCGGCUUUUAUACUAUUAACAGCGAUAGUGCAUGCUUCGAAUUUAUAUGCACUUCUCUGGCUGCCGAGUAGCUAUGUAAGUUGCAAACCGGUGCAUAACAGAAAUAUAGCAUCUACGAUCUAUCCAUGAAAACAGCAUCAUGUCCGCUUGAUUUUAUGAACUUCUUCAGUAAAAGAACCAGGAUUGCAAUUGUCAAGCCAAUGGCGGCCCAUGUAAGCAGACGGUCAUCACCUGGUUUCUGAACCCUCGUCAGUGGCUUUUGCAGCGGCUGAUUGCUUGGAUUCCUGGCAACCUCAGAUGCUACCCUUGCUCCCAUAUGAUUGGGAUCGGCAUUGACAGGCGCCUCAGCAUUGGCAGGCGCCUCGUGCACUUCUUCAGCGAUUCUGUCACCUACUGUUGGAUCUGAAGGUGCUUGCACAUCUGCUGCCCCAACAUUUUGCAUAUCUGCCUGCAAUAACACCUCCGCAUUUGUUGGAUUUUCAUCAGAACCCUGGGGGGAGCUAAGUUGGGGAACUGGGGGGGCCUUGCUUAGCAUAUACUGAUGGAUCUGCAGAUGAUGGACAGGUGACCAAAAUAUUAGAUGUCGAAUUAAAAACCACAUCACUAUGAAGAGGAAUUCGUGGGCAAGCAUAUACUUCAUCGAUAAGUUUUUGACGUUCAGGAGUGCCAAAUCUAGGGAGUGCUUCACGAGAUUUGAUGGCCAAGGUUCGCCUCUCUUCUUUUUUGUAGUCUAAUGAGCCCAAUGCACCAUUUGGGCUAGUUGGCAUGAAGGCAAUUAGUGCCACAAGAGCAGUCCGCACUGCCAAUGAUGAUGAUAUGUAAACCAGGUAUAAGAUAAAAUGAAUACACAGAUUCAGUGAUUCACAGAAGAUAUAUGUUAUUCAGGUGCCAACUUAGCAUGAUUACCCGGUUGUGUAUCAUUCACCAGUUGGCAACAAGUAAUAAUAAACCAUACAAGGAAGUAAAUGAACCACACAGAGUGAUACUUGUUUCCUCUCUUUUCAGAAAAAAAAAAUUGUUUCCUCAUUAUUACUCCUAAGUAACAAUAAUAUAAUGAAGCAAACAUGUAUUAUUCAUUAGCUCAAGCUUUGAACAAGUCAGUGCCAAAUUUACCACUUGGACGUAAGUCAUAAUUUUAGGUCUUUGCUAUUUGAUUCAAAGGUCAACUUUUAAUGACUAGCCAUCUACUCAUACUUUAGAAUACAUAUCUAGAUGCAUGAAUGAUAAUGACAUCUUACCACUCCAUGAUGGCUGCCAGUGCUCGGGAUGGUGAUUUGAUAUGCUCAAGCAUAUCUUGGUCUGGGUUUCAAAACGACCAUUUGGCUGAAAGAAGGGCAUGAAACUUGUUAGCAUGUCUAACUUGAAUAAAUAUGAUAAAGUUUUAAAGAGAGGAAAAUCUUACAGUCAACAACAUAAAUGAAGGAGGCUGGAAUGGAUAUUCAGCAGGCAACUGAAUCCGUCCGUGAUAAAUACCACCCUCAAAUUCAGUAUCUCUUGGGCCUCUUAUGGCAAAUUGCCAUUCAAAUAUAUUCUCCUGGUAAUAAUAGAACAAUAGAACUAUUGCAUCAGAAAUCAAGUCAGACUGAAAACAAAUUACAUUAAGCACUAGCAAGAUGGAUAGUGAGACAUGGAACAAGUUGUAAGUGGAAAUAGAAACGGAAAAAUAAAGAAAUCAAUUUUUCAUUCAGUUUCUGUAUAACAUAAACUGAAUUUAGGAAAUUCCUAAUUCCCAACUAAACAAUCCAAAUUUCAAUUAAAUGUGGUUCCCCUAUUCUCUUUAUUUGCUCCCGUUAAGGGAGACCCAUAGGCCUUAUCCAAUACAUUCAGCAGCAAUUUUAAGUCAACUCUACAAUCCCCAGUUCUUUAUAUCUCAAUUCCGUAAGUGAAGCAGAUUUUGAAACAUUAUAAUAUGCAGCAUGUCCCUCCAAUUUGGAAAAAAAUUCCCAGUAGUGCGCUAAUCAGUAUAAACACCGUAAGAUAACCCCAUGAAGUUCCCUCCCAUUUCCGCAACGCAGAAAAAAUAUGUAAAUGAAUUUCAGAAACAAAAUUCAAACCCAAAGUCCAAUUCCAAUGAUUCAACAGAUAUUCCCCAAAUUGCACUUCGAAACCCUAGUUCGAUCCAGAAGCCAAUAUGUACGAUUGCCUAUCUUGUAAAUUAAGCGCAGAUAAACCGUUAAUUGAGAAAGCAUUAGCGAUUCAGACAUCCAAUUAUUGCUGUUUCAGUCGAGCAAUUGCAAACAAUAACAACUUUUUCUAAGGGAGAAAAGAGAGAACGUUUUGAAAAACAAACCUCGAGAGGGAGGCUCAUGAAAUCAUCAGAAGGAUUAGAUUGCAUUUCCUUGACCUCCUGCAGGAUCCUCUUCACUGCAGGAUUCUUUAGAUUGUACUUGUCCUCCGCCAUUGAUUAACGAUUUGAGCAAGGAUCGAUCCUCCACCAAACACCACUCCAAUCCGAUCAGAAGACCUAAAUCUCUGGUUUUAUAUUCUAUCUCUAUAGAAAUGCGCGGUUGUGCAUGUAAAACUGUAUAUACAAACACGCCCGCAGUAUAGAAGAUUGGGGAAAAUAUCAGAGAGCAAAGAAAGAGACGUAGAAGAUGGAGUGCUCGUCGUGUCACCGGUACGAAUAUAAAUGUUGUAGAGCUGGAGAAAGAAACAGGGAGGAGUCCGGAUGUUGACUUGACACGUCAUGUGAUGCGCUGUUGAUGACAUGGCGAUUGGUCAUUGGAUAAUAAACAGUGAGUGAUUAAAUUUAAAUUCACUUCAAAUUUACCGAGGUAAUUUUUUUUUUUUACUUUUAUCAGAAAAUGAAAAGUAAUUUUUUCUUACAGGAGUUUAAAUUAGAAUUGGGCCUGAGAUGAGCCGGCCCAAUUUGAACAUUUUAAGGGAUCGAAAAACUAAUUGGCGCGAGAAAGAAUGGGGGGAGAGAAGGAUUCCGGUUACGGCAAUCAUCGGCCUCGUGUUGAAUUUGCAGUGCGAUUUACAGUAAUGUAACUUUGCAGUGAGAAGUAGAAAAAUUCAAAAGGAUCCGGCAGUAGUCCUGCCGCUCAGCCCUCUGUUUCUGGUAAGCGAAUACGUCCUUACGCCCGUAUUUUAUCCGUUUGGCUGUUGUUCUAAAUGCUGUAUUUAAUAUAUGUAUGUAUAUGUCAUAUAAGCUCUUUCAACGGCGGGCUGGGCUGUUCUGCGUUGAAAGCUGCUUGCUGAUGUUGUUUCCAAAGACCUUAGUUUCUUGUUCUACAUACUAACUUGCUAAGUUGGAUAUUUUGUGUCAUCUUUUAUUUGCUUGUGUUAUUAUUGCUGAUUGUUCGAGUUUGUUGGACAAUUCUUGAUUGGCGGAACUUCUUAGGAACUUACAGAUUUAAAAAAUGUCCCCAAGAAUUAUGUCAGCUAGAUUUCAUGUUCAUUAUUUUAGUUCCGUUCUAGGCAUUGUUUGAUUUCUUAUUUAAUUCAUAGAAUGUCUAAGAAAUUUUCUCCCCGGAGAACUGUUUAACUCCAUAUUUUUAUUAGCGGGCCACCUAGAUAAUAUCAGCCCAUCAACAUCUACGUGACUGUGGUUCUGUAAAGACUUUGUGUAAGAACGGUUCUAUUUGGAGGUUAAGCAAUUUUGAUUAAAAAAAUAAAAACUCUUGGCUGUUCUUGUUGUUUGUUUGUUUGCUUGUUUGUCUUUUAUUUAUUGAUCACUAACCAAAUUGGUCAUUUAAUUUUAGUAUAUCAGUUUAUAAACUCAACAAAAUUAGAUAAAACGAGACUGUAAGUAAGCUUGUUCAAAUGGCCAAUGUUAUGUGCUUUAUGGAGGGGUUCAACUCCGGUGCAGUUGAAGACAAGUUUAGUUCUUCCAGUCAGGGUUUUGAGAGUCUGGAAUAUGGAACAGAAGCCUGCAAAAGGUCUCGAGAUAUUUAUUCGCUCGGUUCUGAUUAUGGAUUCCAUCCAGAUGAGUCAUCACUGGACAAUGGAUUUAUAGUCACAAAGUAUGAUCAAGAACAGCAGCAACAACUGUCAUGUUCAGAUUUUAGACUACUCGAUGGUGUAAGUUUUAACGUUGCUUCUCCACCAAUCCAAGCAUAUUUUGAGGAGAUGGUAAAGCUUGCUGGUGGAAUCCAAGAUGUGAUUGAACCCAAGAAGGAGAAGCAUGUUCAAUUUUCUUUCCCCGCACUUGAGCUCCUAAACAACUACAGAAGUGGGUUCAAGCGGCUGAAUGGGGAAGGACGAAUUAUUGAGCCAAGAAAUGAUACGGCAAAUACAGAGGGAGCAACCAAAAAGUUUUCGACUGAAGAAAUCUUUAGGUUUGCAGGAGAGAUUUUCAUCCAGUCUUCUUCCCAAAUAGUUGAUGGUCUUUCCAUGGUCAGCCAUCCUUUUAAUCUAUCUUUUUCUGGUCUUUCCAAUGAGGAAAUCAAAGAUGUGGAGCUAGCUGGUUUUCUUUUGGCUUCUGCAGAGAAAGUAGGCUGUCAAGAAUAUGACCGUGCGAAGAGAUUCCUGAAUCAGUGUGAUAGCUUGUCUUCUGAUACUGGAACUCCAGUCCAACGUAUAGUUUACUACUUUUCUGAAGCCCUUAAGGAAAAGAUUGAUCGAGAGACUGGUAGAUUCAAGUCAAAGGGAUUAGAGAGAGUGCAGAAAGUCGAUAUUGAUGAGGCAAUCAUGAGCCCAAAUCCUGCUACCCUGGCAUGUCAUCAAACAAUGCCUUUUGCACAGAUAACCCAAUUUGCAGGGAUCCAAGCCAUUAUAGACAAUAUGGCUGAGGCAAGCAGAGUUCAUAUAAUUGAUCUUGGAAUUAUGAGUGGGAUCCAAUGGGCAAUCCUGAUGCAAGCUCUUGCAUCACGUCAAGAGGGUCCUAUUGAGCUUCUUAAGAUAACUGCUAUUGGAACUACUUCAAAACAUUUGAUAGAGGAUACAGGUCGGCGGUUACGGAGUUUUGCUGAGAGCAUGAACUUACCCUUUUCUUUCAAGAUAGUUAUGGUCUCAGACAUUCUUGAUCUCAAAGAAAAUCUCUUUGAGACAGAUGCUACGGAGAUGGUUGCUGUCUUUUCUCAGUUCUUGCUAAGGAGCAUGAUUGUAGUUCCAGACCGGUUAGAAGCCUUAAUGAGGAUCAUCAGGAAGAUUAGUCCGUAUAUAAUGGUUGUUAUUGAGGUAGAGGCAAAUCUCAACUCACCAUUUUUUGUGAGCCGUUUCAUUGAAGCUCUUUUCUUUUACAGUGCAUAUUUUGAUUGUCUGGAAGCUUGCAUGAAAAGAGAUAAUGUCAAUAGGGUGGUUACUGAAUCUAGAUACUUUGGCGAGGGAAUCAGAAAUAUAUUGGCAGCUGAAGGAAAUGAAAGGAAGAUCCGAAAUGUGAAUAUUGAUGUUUGGAGGGCUUUCUUUGCUCGUUUUGGAAUGUUAGAGGCUGAUCUGAGCAUGUCAUCCCACUACCAAGCAAAACUUUUGACUGAAAAGUUCAAUUGUGGGAGUUCUUGUACUCUUGACAUGAAUGGAAAGUGCCUUAUUGUUGGGUGGAAGGGUACUCCACUUCUUUCUGUUUCUGCUUGGAAGUUCUAUUAAGAAGAACUGACCAUGAUAGUGAUGAUCUAAUUCAAGUACAUUGUUCCUUUCAGUCUCUAAUCUGAGGUCCUCAUAGGUAAUAUAAAAUGAAAUUUGUAGUUUGUUUCUUCUUGGUUCGGAACGUGGUUUGAGCAGAUCUAUUUGAUGCUUGAUGUCUUACUAUGAUGUUUUUAAAUAGGCAAGUAUCAUAUGGGAAGGAUCACGUAACAUCACUUUUGUUAACAUUGUGCUCUUAUACAGUCAAGCAAGCGUAUCCAAUUCACAAUCUUGUUUACCAGCAUCUUCAUGUUUUACAAUUUCUUUACACCAUACAAGGGUUUCCUUCUUUUGUGCUUUAUAUGCAAAGAGUUCUAAGAGGUAAUAGGCUUUACAGUUUCUGCAACUCAUGUGACAAUUAAGAGUUUAGAUAUUUGCAAUUCAAUUCUUUUUAUUCCAUCAACAGCAAUUACAUUUCUCUGUUAAUAGGAAGGUUUCCAUAUUAACAUGGUGAUUUGCAUUCAUAUUAUGCCCUUUUCAAGUCCAAUCACAGGAAUGCUGCUUUUUGCAUAGAAACCUGGAACUCUUGGCAUAAUUCAGUAUUUUUGGCACAAUCCUCUCCUUGUGAAGCUAAUGAAGUGGCUUCAGUCCUGCACGAAAACCCCCUUAAAGACAGCACAGAAAAUCCUGAAAUUAUUGCCAUUAGUGUCUAGAUGAGGAAGCAUCAAUCUAAUAGGCAUUUUACUGUAUUUCUAUUUCCACAGAUUUCCGCGCACAAGCAACUUAAUCAUUAAGACUGAACUCAAUGCUAACCAAUCAGGUUCUAAUUUCUGAAGGAUGCCUGACGAGUUUAGGAGAAUGUCCAACUUGUGUUGUUCUUGUUACCAAUAAUUUUACUUGAUUAUUUAGGCCUUAUUGCCAUAAAUUAUUUUCUCUGCUUCAUUUUUUUUUUUGUUUAUAGUUCCAAGGGAUCAAUAAAACGACCUUGUUCAAGUCUAAAAAUACUCCAAGCUUCAAGUUUCAUGAAAUAAAUCGACAAUAGGAAGUUACUUAUCAAGUUUUAUCUCCGCCUUUUAUGUUUUUUUGCUCCACACUAUUCCAACUUCUAAUUCUAGAACUUCUAUUGUCUGCCUUCAAAACCGUGCUUCCCAUUAGAGGAGAGAUUCAAUUAUUUUCUGGUGUAUGGGAUUUCAACAUAUGCAGGGUGUCAGUUGUAGAGAGUAAAUGAGGGGAAUAUUCUUAAUCACAUUCUAGCAAAUUUUCUCACAGUCAAGUUCUUAGCACUUUAAGAGAGCUGGUUAUGUUGUCUCAGAAAAGAGAUAAAAGAAACAAGAAAAAAGAAAAGGAGAGCUGGGUUAUGCUGGGGAAAAACUCUGCCACUUCUGAUUUGUCCACUUCUCUUUACAAUUUUCUGCACAUAUGACAUCUUCAUGUAAAUAUCCUUUUGGAUAGUCCCUUUCCUAAUAUUGCUGGCUAGUUUAUUCAUUAUCUAUUUCUUAGAGAAAAUAUUUCGUUCCUUAUCUGGCUGUGUAUUAGUUUCAGGUUCCUUUGGAUCACCUUGUAAAGCAGCAGGAGUGUCUGCCAAGUUAUAUAAUAUACUGAUUUGUGAAAUGACUUUGAAUCUUGAAAGAAGCAUGGGUUUUGGGUAUUGUGUGAUUAUAAGCACAGUGGUAGCAAGUUAGAUAUCCUCUAGUGUAUUGAGACAAAUAUGGUAAAGCAACUUGAAUUAGUCUUGUAACACUGCCUUUUAUUCCCUGAAAAAUUUUGCUGAUUCUCUGCCAAAUACUCAAUAGUGAAAUCUGUUAAUGGGGAUGAAAUAGUGAUUUCUAUCCAUUUCAUCAGUGCAAGGCUUGGAGUAUAGAAGCUGAUCUAGAUUUUUUGAACAAUAAUCAUCUCUCAAGUGAUGGUUUGAACAGUAAUCAUUUUUCGUCUGAGAGGAAAAAUUGUCUGACCAGAACUUAAAAAAUAAUUGAAGUGAUGGCUAGUGAAAUUGUUGAAGACCAAAUCUUUGCUAGGAAUUGUUGAUCAUGAAAAAAAAGAGCUUUGAGCUUAUUUGACACCCUUGUUGAGAUCUACAGGUUUUGAAUGACAAACUAAAUGGGAAUCAUUUCCAACUAGACAGACAUAACCACUACUUUUUUUACUUCGAAGUAACCACAUCAAUGUUAUGGGUACCGAUAUGUAAAAAUAUUUCUUUGCUCCACAUGCUUAUUUCAAUUAAUAAUUCCCUGGAGAAUUGUUCUUCCAUUUGUUUACUUGACGAGAAGAAAAACAAAAGAAGCUUAUUAUGCAAACAUUAACUUGAAAUUACGAGUUACACAUGCAGAUUUUAAAGCAGCCGGUUGAAGGAUUCAAGAGAGUUUCUCAUUAAUUGUUGAUUCUUCAAUUAUGUUCACUUGGUUUAAGGACUUGAAACCUUGGAUCUCAGAACAUCUGCUGGGUGACACAGUGGAGUUGAACCCUUGAUUCAAUGGAAAGACAGGCCUUAGGCAUUUGCGUGCAACAAUAACUGAAUUAAUGACCUCAUCAGUUGGAUGAAAAACUGAAAGAACCUCAAAACCUUGAAGCUCAUGAGGACCAACAACAGGAUACAGAAAUGCUCGAGCUCCAUGUGAACUCCUCAGCAACAAGAAGGCUCCUGGGGCCAUGUGCAAUGCCAAGUGAUCAAUGAUUUGAGUCUUCUCUUCCUUGCCCAUCCCUACAAGAGCUGCCAAGAAAACAACUUCAUACUCCUCCAAAGCCUGACUUGACAAGUCCAUAACAUCCAAUGUAUGGAAAAACAUUCGUUUCGACAAGUCAGGAUCUGAUGAAACCAGCUGCCAUGCUUUGUAGUUUGCCAAUGGAUCAAUGUCAUAGUUAUGAAAAGUUGUUGUCUUCAGGUGCUGAGAGGCCAAGAUGAUGGAAGUAAGAGGGAGAGGUCCAGAUCCUAAGAAGGCAAUUUUGGUUGGAACUUGACCAUCGCAAUACUCUUUACCGAGCAUGGUGAACUCUAGAUUGGUAAGCUUGAGGUAAUUCGUGUAGUAGGGGAAGAGACCGAUGUGGCGAAGUGGGUUCUGUUGAGAUCCUAUGAGAGUUGAGAAAUGGCUUUCUAAAAGUCCCUCAGCUUUCCCACAUAGCUUAAUCAACCUACAUCUCAUGUCUUGAACUCUUUUGCUCAGCUUGGUAACAUCAAUAUGGCAGGGAGACAUGCAUGUAAGUACAAGUUGAGUGAAGAGGGUGUUGACAUGGUCACUAGGGUUGAGGUUUUCUAGCCUUGAGAUUUUAUGAUACAUCUCAUAGACUUUUCUUACUAACACUUCAUCUUCUUGACAGUCCAUAUUGACAACCACAACAGGACUCAAGACACCAGCACCGGAGACAACAGACAUUGACCAGGAGUGACUUACACGCUUGUGUGAAUAUGUUUCUGCACUCAAAAGGUAGUAGAGUAUAAAUAGUGAAAUGUUCUCUUCUAGCAGGUUAAACUUGUCUCGUAUCUACACUGCCAAUUAUUUAACUAAACUAAGCAAUUGAGCAAGUUGAUUCCGAGUAGAGGCAUAACCCGAUAAAAUUAUUAAAAUUGUGUCACGUUUAUUUUUCACUUAAUUUCACUCAUUUUAAAAUCCACUUUCAUAUUAAUUUAAGUACACAUAAUUAAAAUAUAAUUCAUUAUUAUUAACUAUUUAUUAGUUACACAGUUAAAAUUUUUAUUUUUCUCUAUGAAAAUGGUGGUUCAAGUUAGAUUAGCCGUUCUACAUCUAUAUAUAUAUAUAUAUUUUAGAAUUUUUAAUUUUUAAUUAUUUUUUAAAUACUUUUACGACAAAAUUUUAAUUUUAAUUUUAAUUUUUGAGGUAAAAAAUGAACUUUUUGAAUUUUAAAAAUUCAAAUACAAUAUAUUGUGUUCUAAUUAUACAUUUUAAAAUUAAUAUUGGAAUUAAGUCCAAAAACAAAUCAUUCCCGACGUAGAAAUAAGUUCAGGUAGAUCAUAGGAAAUUAAUAAUUUAUUCACGCACUGGAAAAAUGUGGUGAGGCUGCCAAAAGAGGCAGAUAAUACGAGCUAAAAAUAACAGUCAUCAUGCACCAUGAAAUGGUAUGUCUACAUAUGAUGCAUUAAUUCCAUCAUCCUACCCCCCUUAUAUAUAUAUAUAUAUACACAUACAUAUAUUUAUACACACACACACACACAUAAUAUGUUUUUUCUAGGGAUACUUUUUUUUUGGGAUUAUUUUUAAGGGAUAUAUAUAUAUAUAUAUAUAACAAAAAUAGAUACAGUAUGUAAAAGUUGAAAUUCACAAGCUAAAUAAUUUAUAAAUAUUAAUUAACUUUGUAAAUUAAAUUGUCACAUAAAUAUAUAUAUUAUAUCAUAUUAUAUUAUAUUAUACAUGCACAUUAAUCAUAAUAUAAAACUAAAAUAUAUUGAAAUAUAUACAAGUCAUGUAGUAAAGUGCUUCUGCAAUAAUUGACGAGUAGAAAAAUAGUAGCCUUUAAUUCAAUCUUAAUGAGUCUACAAUGUCGACAUUCCAAGUUUACCAGAAGAGCUAGUGGCAGACCAACUGUGUCAUCCGCACGGUGCCGUAUUAGGCCUCGUUUUUUUCCUCUCUUUUCCCCUCAUAUUUACUUUAUUUUUAUAUUAAAGUUUGUCUGGUUAGUAAAUUACUUUUAAAUAAUUAAUGAGAUAAUUAUCAACGGUAUAAUAAUUAAAUUUUUUAUAUUUUAUUUAAAAAAUUAUUAUUUUAUUAGUGUAUUAUAAAUAAUAUGACAAAUUUUUUAUAAUAAUAAAAUAUUGAAUGAAAAAAUCUAGAAUACCAAUUACACCAUUGUAUAAUUCACAAAGAUACUUCAGGCCCAAUAAGAAUCAAAAUUCAAGUUGUAGCCCAAAAAAAAAACAAUUAUUUAGAAUACCUUAGACGACGUCGUAUGAGGAGGAAAGUUACAAGCUUGGGUUCGGUCACGUAAUGGGCGGAGCCCGCCACAGAUAUACACGGCUGGCUUAUUUGACGCGUAGCUCGGCUUCAGCGCAUGUAAGCCAUGUGUAAGGCACUAGGCCCCAUAAGAGAGUCUGCUCAACUCAAGCCCGAGUCAGAGAAGAGACCGGCUAACUCAGGUAGGGCGAACUGGAGUGCGAGCAGAAAAAUGGAGAGCAAAACGCGGGAAGAAAUGGAGAAGAUCGGGAUAAUCGAUUCGUGGCUGAGGAAGCACCAACUGAUCUACAUAGGAGCUACGAGGCAUCCUUUCAUCCUCAGCAUCAGAGAUGGCUCCGUCGAUCUCUACUGCUUCAAAACAUGGCUGGUAGUUAGUACGCAUCUGCUUUGAUUUCCGAAAUCCAUUUGAAAGCCAACUGUAAUUUUCUUAUGUUUGUGGUUAGUUUAUUUUGGUUGAGAAAAUUUCAGGGACAAGAUUACAUAUUCGUGAGAGAAUUCGUGGCAUUUGCGGCGAGUGUGUUGAUGAAGGCCUGUAAGGAGUCGGAUGAGUCGAGUGAUAUGGAAGUGAUAUUAGGAGCCAUGGCUGCUCUUAACGAUGAAAUUCGGUGGUUCAAAAAUGAAGCCUCCAAAUGGGAAAUCGAACUCUCGGGAAUUGCUCCCCGAAAGGCAACCCAAGAUUAUUGCAGGUUCAUACGUGAUUUCCCUUCUCCCUGUUUUAGGUCUCAAAAUAAAAUUGCAGUGUUUAUAUGUUCUUCUUGAUUAUGGAUCAUGCUUUAUAGUUUUUUAUGUUAGAAUUUAGUCAAUAUAUAGAUUAAAUGGAAAACAAUUUUAAAUAAAUUUCGCAAAGAACAAAUUGAAAAUUAGUUCUCAUAUUUGUUGAGUUAAGUAUGAAUUUACAAGUCUUGUAGAACUCAUUUUUCCUUGCUGUGUUCGUUUUGAUGUUUGCAGCAUUUUCAUGUUUUAUGGGUCCGGACUAAUAGCUAUUAAUUUUUUGCGACCACAACAUUUUUGUGAAGAAGAAAAGACAUAUAUAGUUUUAAGUGUCUUAAGGUUGCAUUUGUUUAGUUUUGAAUUUUAUAUUUGCUUAUAAUUAGAAUACAAUUUCUUAUGAUUGAGUUUACCAGCACUUUUAUAUUGAAUUUCCAUUUUCAAUGGAAUUCAAAAUGGGUUGGUAAUAUAAGACUAAUAUGGUAAUCAGAACUAGGAAUUAACUUAGAAUUGAAUGACAAAUAUGUAUUUGAUCCUUGUUUAACAUGGUAACCACAUGAGAUUUUUCUAGCGUAACUAUAUGAUAGUUUUGUUUGUAAAAUGAUUCUUCAAUAAUCUUUUUUUUUAGAUAAAUAAUUCUUCAAUAAUGUUACUUUAAUUCGAAUGAACAAGAUUAAUCUUUGGCACUGCGUUUUAGUCGUUAUAUUAUAAUUUUUAGAAAUUAUUGUUCUACAUAACCAUUUUAUUUGGUUCACAUAAAGACUAAUUCAGUUUAUUUUUUUGCAAAGUAAGUAGAUAAUUUAUUUACGCAACAACACUCCAUGUAGCCGGAUUAUCUGAUAAUACACACACCAAUAAUUGGUGAGCCCAAAUGACAUGAGAGCUGCACCGGGGGAAAAAAACAACCCUUAGAAUUUUAGCAUCGGCAAGUCUUGCAACAUAAUGACUUCAUGCCUUGCAUAUUUGUCCUUCUAGAUUUAGUUCAGCAUGUAUUUGUAUUGAAUGUCCUUUUCUUUGUCCCAUCAUGUAAGUCAUUGCAUUUUGAACCCACCUCAAAUUUGAGAUUGAAGCCAACUUCCGGGUGAAAAGAGGAUGGCCUUGAACACCAUUUCUCUAGGUUUUCAUCUUACAAAAAACUUGUCAACAGGAUCAAGUGUGGGGAUGAACGUCUUAUGUCUCUCUAUCUUACGGACACAAUUGAUAUGCAUUCUAGUUCAUUGGGACGUGCCUUUAUCUUAAGAACACAAGUGGUAUGCAUUCCAGUUUUUGUGUCUCCAAAUAUGUGCCCUGCUAUCUUUUAUAUGCAUUCAUAUUUGCAUAGUUGGGAUUCAUGUCUUACGCAUCUAAGGUAGGGCCACACAUUUCUGUUUAAGGGGAUGCUAGUUUUUUGAUCCCCAACUAUUUUUUUAUGGGCAGUGUUCCUAUUUGCUAGGAUGAGAACUUUUGCAUCUGCAAAAAGUUGCAUUUCCCAGCUAUAUUUUUGGACGCAAAUUAUGUGUUAAUAUAUGUGCACCCUUGCUAAAACUUCUGUUGUCGAGAUCCCUGGUCUGGUACCAUCAUUUUGAGAGCUAAUGCAUGGGUCCCAAACUCACACAGGUUUCUGGAGAGUUUGAUGGGCAAGGAAGUUGAAUAUGCUGUUGUCAUUACAGCUUUCUGGGCAAUUGAAUCUGUGUACCAAGAGAGCUUUGCCCACUGCUUAGAAGAUGGUAACGAAACCCCACCGCCAUUACUGGAUACCUGCCAAAGAUGGGGCAACCGCGAUUUUGGACAGUACUGUUUUUCCCUCAAAAAAAUUGCUGAUCGGUGGCUGAAGAAGGCUUCUGGUGAUAUUCUCAAAAAGACUGAAGUGGUGCUCCUCUCUGUUCUUGAACAUGAAGUAGCCUUCUGGAAUAUGAGCCGCGUGCAUGUGGCAGAAGCCGAGCACUAAUUCUCCUCUCGGGCUACUUGUCAGCUGAGUACUUCAAGCUAGAGUAAGUGAAUUUUCUUGAUUUAUGCUUUUAUAAUGUUGGUGUCAGUAGAUUAUAGCAAAUGCAUAUGUAGGUUUUAUGUUGUAAUUGUAAUUAGGUAUUAGUGGAAAAGUGUUUUAUGCUUUGCGCCAUGUAUAUCAUCAGUGAAAGCUUGGACAGAACCUACAUAGAUAUAUACACACACCACGUAAUCAAUAGUUAGUGCCUGGAGAGAAUCUAUAUAUACACAUAUACACACUAUCAAGGCACGAACUUCAUCCUAUGUUACUCUCUAAAAUAUUUUGUUGCUUCUUUGGCUAGCAGAAUAAAGAACGUGUAGAAGAGAUUCAAUCUACUAGUCCAAUUUAUGGGUAACUUCUAAUUGCCCAUUUGGUUUAUUUUCCUUGAUGUUAAUUCAUAUAUAUAUAUAUAUACAUAUAUAUAUAUAUUACUAUUAUAUAUAGCUGCCCAUUUUGAGAUCCGAUUAGAGUAGUAGCAUUUCAUAAGAUAUAAUUAAUUACUAUAUCUAUAUACCAAUACCAAUAACAUGUAAGCUUAGUAGUUAAAAUUUUUGUAAAUCUUUUUAAGUGGAGAAGUUAUAUUAAAUUGUUUACUAUAUCUAUACAUUGUAUGCGGAAAAACGUUUAUAGAUAUUUAAACUAUAAAUAUUUGAAGUCAUUGUUUUGGCUUUAAAAUAUAUAUUAAAUACAGAAAUUAAAUAAUUUAAAAAAUAAUUACUUAAUUAAUUGUAUUUUUUUAAGAAAAAGUCAAAGAAGACGCAUCUAGAAAUUUGAUAAGUCCUUUGUGAUUAUGGUUAAUUAAUUAUAUCUUUAAUUAAUUAAUGAUAGUACGGGUGGCAUAAUCACAUAAUUAGUUUUGUCAUUUAACAUUACGUGUGAUGUUCAUUUUGGUAAUUAAUUAAUAUCGAGUCUUUUAUAAUUAUCAUUAAUGAUGUCAUAAUUAUUUUAUAUAUUUCUUGAAUUUAUAAAACGCAAUGAUGAAAAUUCUUUAUGGUAUUAACCAAACAAGGAGCGACACGUCAUAUCAAUUACCAGAAGAAUGUAACCUGAGAAAAUUGGUUUCAUCAUCAUCAACAUCCUGACGAUUUUAUUAAAUUACGACUAGUAAUUCAUUAAAACUCGAAGAUCCCAGGGGAUAUAAUCGGCUGUGUCGCACCCCCAACUUGCCAUGGUACCCGGCAAAGUUCCGGCGACGCCAUUUUUUCCGAUGACUGGCCGUCGCAGGAGCAGCCGGCGACGGACGAACUACCGACCUGCAUACAGCUAUUCAGUAUCAUAAUCUCCAAAUGAAACAUAUAAUUCGCCAGUCUCGUCUUCUCAGCCCUCAGCACGUUAUUCUCGGACUCCACAGCCUUAUUGCUCUCCAUUAUGAUAUCAAACCUCUUGUUUCCCUCCUGUAUUUUUCUAUUCAGAAGAGCAAUCUCGUUGACCAGAUCCUCGAUCUGCUUCUGCCUCCUCAGCCGUGACCUUCUCGCCGAUUCGCGGUUCGACAGCAUUCUCUUCCUUCUCUUCUCGUCCGUAAUCACGGCGUAUCGCGCGUCUUUUUCCAAAACCGAGUUCGUCAGCUGAAUCCCCUGCUUCACCAUUUUUCUAGAAAUUCCCGAACCCGAUCCAAGAAAUUUUGGUCGCCCAACGGCGGAUUGUUUGGCGACGAGGAAAAUGCUCCUUACCGAUUCUCGCAGUAAAAUUCCGAAUAAACAAACACGAUUAUCCGGAGAGAGAAUUUAAUUUCGAGCAAUCAAAUCUCCGGAUUCGACGAUGAAAAUCGAGAAGGGAAAAUUAAGAAAACUUGUAAAACCAAUAGAGGAUUACAACUGAGACUGACUGGAAAACAAGAAGCUGACAGAACUGCGUUAGGUUGUUCAUAUAUCGAUAAUGGCGGAAAUUGUGUGUAUAAUUAUAUAUAUAUUCUCCUGGUACCAUCGACGAACCAGUAAACAAAGCAUGACGGGCCGGGAGAUUUUCAGACGAAAGAAAUUAAGAUCCUCCCAGGCAGAAGUAUGGAGGAAGACGAUAAAGUCGGCUGAGAAUUAACGUGAAGAAGGAGAUAAGAUAUAAAGCAUAGAGCUGAAGAUUAAGGUGCGGAAAAUGGUGUAUAUAUAUAUAUAUAUAAUUAUAGACCAUAAGAGAUUAUGUCUUUAUCCAUUAUCCCAAAAUUUUGAGUAUUUUAAGGUUAAAAAAUUAAUUAGAGAUUUUUAAGGUAAUACUAAUUUGGGUAAUUCAGUUGGUACAGAAAUAUCCUUCCUAAAUUGUAAUAAAUAAAUUUUAAAUGCAAAAAUCAGUAUAAUUUUUUUUUUAAAAUAUUAAAUUAAUUAGACAAUGUUAUAACUAAAAAGGUAUGUUAAAAAAUAGGUAAUUACUUUCUUAAAUGUAAUUAAUUAUGUUUGCUCUAAAAUUGACAAUUCCAUGUGUAGAGAAUUUUGGAAGCUGUUACCCUCAUACUAUUUUGAAUGGUCAAUUUGAUGUUUAAGGUAAUUUGUUAAUAUAUUUUCCCAAGGAUAAGAAUUUUCCUUAAUUUCAUACAUAUAUAUAUAUAUAUAAUAUAUCUAUAUUUAUAUACGUAUUGAGGUAAGUGGGUAAGGAUAAAAUUGGGUUACUAAUAUUCUCCAAGAAUGUAUCCACUCCCAUUUUCAUUUUUUAAUGAAGACUUUGUUAUGAGUUGGUUUAAUUUAGUUAUCGUAGUAUCAUUAAUUCUUCGGAUACCACCAUCGCUUUUUCUUCGGGAAAAGAAGUUCACGGCCCGUGGGCCUUCUACCUCCAUGCGGCAUUGCUCCGUCAGGCUUUCGCCCAUUGCGGAAAAUUUCUCACUGAUGCCUCAUGCAGGAGUCUGGGCCAUGUCUCAGUCCCGUUGUGGUUGAUCAUCCUCUCGGACCAGCUACUGAUCGUCGUCUUGGUAAGCUAUUGUCUUACCAACUAGCUAAUCAGACGCGAGCCCCUUCUCGGACGGAUUACUCCUUUAUGUUAGUGAAAUAUUUAUUUUACUAAAAAAAAUAAUAAAUUUGUAAAAAUUUAAUUUAAUUUGGUUACCGUAACCCACUAAUAUAAUUAAGUCUUCGAUAUUAAAAAAUUGAACAUUAUAAGUUAUUCAUCUUGACUUAUAAUACACUCAUAAAAUUAUAAAUUUUAUAUUUUUAAUAAAAUUUUAAUAUAUAACUUUUAAAUAAAUUUAAAGUAGACUAAUUUAAUAUAAAUUAAACACUAAAUUUCACAUUAUUGAACUAAGUACAUUUGAUUUAACCGUUAUUUAAUCAUAAGAAUUUUGUUGGUUACAUUUCAAUACGUUUAUUCUUCUGUGUAUAUAUAUAUAUAUAUGUACGUACGUAUAUAUAUGUGUGUGUGUGUGUGUGUACAUACAUAUCUGCAUAAACCACUUCUGUGCAGGAUAACCGAUAAUUCUAUUCUCUGAUUUCUCAACGACAGUGGAGCUUGGACGACAAGGCAAAUGCAAGCUUUCAAUAUGAAAAUGUAAAACUUAAUCUUAUAGUCCAAUCGCUAUCUGCUUCCAACACUUAUCCAUACCUGUCUGUACACCUUAUCUAAAUGUAGUUUGCUACGUUAUCAAUUCACACACACACACACACACACACACACACACACACAUAUACACACACACACACACACACACACACACACAUAUAUACACAAUGCGUAUGUAAAUGAAUAAACAGUCAUCAACAAUAUACUCAGUAUAAUGAUUAGCACUUUUAUAUGCUAUUUUAAUAUUAUAAAUUCAUAUUUUAUUAAAAAUGUAUAUCUUACCCAUUUAUAAAUAUAUUAUAAUCUAACAUGGGUCAAUUUCUAAUAUUUAAUAUAAUAAAAUAAAAAUUUAAUUUAUAAAUAUAUUGGUGAAAUUAAAGCAAAUAAAACGAGUAAUUAUUCUAAAAUAUAUAAAUAAUACUUUUAUUUAUUAUAUAAAUUUUUUAUAUUUAAAAAUAUAAUAAAUUUAUUAAAAUUAACAUAAUAAUGAGUUAAAUUUUUAUUUUUUUAAAAUUAAAUAUUAUAAAUUAAUUACUAUUAUUUAAAAUUUAAGCUUAUAAUAUUUAAAUAAAAUAUGAUACUCUCCAAAUCAAUAAAAUUAUUAGUUAAUAAUGUAAUUAAAUUAAUUAUUGUUUUUCUUAUAUUAUCAUUAUCAUUAUUUUUUUGAGAUAAACAAAAUGAUACUUUGAUAAUACCAUUUACCUUUUUUUUAGGGGAUGAUAAGUGCACUUGCUUAUCAUUUUCGAAGGGAUUGAUAUGAUAAAUUUUUCAAGAAGAAGAAAAAUUCUCAACAAAGUGGCUGUAGUUUAGUGGUGAGAAUUCCACGUUGUGGCCGUGGAGACCUGGGCUCGAAUCCCAGCAGCCACAUUUGUAGGCCUUUUGUGUUCUGCCGUUUUUUUUUUUUGGGAGGGGAGCUUCUUUUGCCCUUUCAUGGCGUUUUAUAUAUAUAUUUUUUUCUAAAAAUAUUGUAUAUAUGCCAAGAAUGCUUUUGAACAAGGUAAUCCUGGAAAGUGCUUUUCAACAAGCUCGUUCUCUAGGUGCUUUACUAACAAAAUACCAGUUAGCUGCUAAUAUAUAUCGUGCUUUUUAAGAAGGUGCUCGUGUUGAUUGUCUGUCUAACCAUGUGAGAUUCACGAUGAAUAUAUACAUAUCACUGUUCGCAACCAAAAGAAAUUAUGCAUUUAAGCAGAUGCUCGUACGUGUCUCAUGCGACUAUAGUCUAUACAUACAUACAUAUGUAUACACAUAUAGUCAAUACUUUUAUUACUACACGUACCAAACUCAACCCCAAGAGUAUGCAUGUGAACUCAAUCUAAUCUCAUGCGUUCAGCGCAUGGAAACCUACGAGUAUUUACACAAUUAAAUUUGCCAGUUGGAGCAUGACGUCUAACAGCACCCAAAACUGUAGGAAAAUGGCGUAAGAAGCUGGAACUCUCACCAUGCAAACACAACUCCCCUAUAUAUAUACCCCUCGAAUCUAUAUACGGAGCAACGCAAAGAAAACAUAUCUUACUUCGAGUCCACUCAGUGACUUUAAGAGAAGAAAAGAAAAAAGAAGAUGGCCGGUCAUGGACGAGACCCGAAGAUGACCGUCGUUCAUAAAGCUGCAGAGAAAGUGAGCGGAGCCCCAGUUGCCGUCAUCCAUGGGGUUGCUCAUCCUAAGCCAUUACUUGUUUCUAACCAACACCCAGUACUGCAGGGGUCCAGCGUUUCAAUUUCUACUGCUCCACCAUUUGCUUCUGAUCAGAAGAUGGCGCCUACCGGUCCAUACUCCUACGUUGCGUCAGCUCCAUACCACCACUAGCUAUUUCUUUACACGACUAUAUAUUAAAAAAGUUAAGGAAAUAAAGUUUAAUAUAAUAUGAAUAAAGAAUGGUGAGAUAAUUCUUGUCGUGUAAUUAUCUCCGGCAUGUGGUUUAAUCAGUCGUCUUCUGUUUGGUUUCUGCUUCUGUGUGCAAAUAAGAGCAUCGUUGAUGUUGUACUGGUAAAUUAAAGGUUAAUCCCAUGAAGCCCGGUACAUACAUACAUACAUAUAUAUAUAUAUAUAUAUAUAUAUAUGAAAGGACCUUGUAUUUCUUGCUAGGUUGAUUACUAUUUACAUGCACCUUGUAAUUUGUACGAGAUAAUAUAAUGAUGAUGCUUAUAAUUGUUAAUCUGAUUUGGGUCCCUUUACUUGACAACGAUAUAUGCUAUUUAUGACGUCAUAUAUAAUGUUUAAAUAAUAUAUAAUAAAAAGAAUUAAAUAUUAAAUAAAUUUCAUUGUCUUUAAAUUUUUAAGAUGAUUAUUACCACUAAAAUUAUUACUUUACAAUAAAUAAUAGAUAAAUAUCAAUUAUAAUAUAAUAUAAUAUAAAUAAUUUCUAAAUGAUAAUAUAUAUAGGAACACAAAUUUAAUUCAAAUUAAUAAACUAAUAAAAUAAUAAAUAAGAAGAAAACGGCAGCGUAGAACUGACCACGUGGUCUGAUAACUACAAUCGUUAUAUUUAUAUACACUGUAAGAACGAAGAGUCCCUUAAAACUCAAACACCUCGCACGUGUGAAAUAAAUUUGCUUUCGCACGUGUAGAUAACUAGUCCAGAAUCAUGCAAUUUUACCAGUCAAGAUCCAAGUAAUUAACACUAAUCAAAUAUGUUGAGAGGCCUUAAUUAAAUCAGGCCCAAGCCCAUGAGGAGAAAUAAAUGGGCUACGUUCGGCCCAAAGGAUUGCACGUGUGAUGUGCGUGCGUGCGUGCGUGUGUGUAUGUAUAUAUAUAUAUAUAUAUGUAUAGCUAGCUGUAUUACGUUAAGAGAAGAUUUUCUGUGGUGUAAUUGUGGCGUAGCGCACGGUUACUUCGGGGGAGGUAUAAAUUUCUCGUUUUAACGCUCAUCCUAGGGUUUUACUCUCCCCGCCGCUGCUCUUCACUUUUUGCUUUCUGGUUAAUUAUGGCGUACGUACACCGUCAUCAUUUUUCCCUCGUUCUUUUUACUUUUCCUUGCACAUCUCUGCUUGGUUAUUAAAGUUCAAAAUUAUAUACGUAUAAGAGGGAGAAUGAUUGGAGAUUUACUUGGUGUGAGAUAUCACAUUGUUCGAGAAACUUUAGAUGUUAUCAGAAUAAAUAAUCGUCAACAAGAGCGGUCUAGUACGUUGUAAAUUCUUAUCCAAGACUUUGUAUCAUUUGACGAUGUCAUGUGAAUCGCUACAAACAUGUUGAGUGUAUUGGUCAACCGAUUGUUGAAGCUUUUACUCGAGGGGAUGCUCUUAAUCCAUUAAAUAUCGUUUAUUCUGGUGUUUACAUCAGGGUCGAAAUACAAUUGAUUUAUGUAUUAAUGAAAAUCUUUAUACUUGCUAGCUUAGUUAUUUACUCGAUGGGUUUUCUUUAUUGCUUUUCAACGAUUUUUACCAAAAAAAUAAAUAAAUUCGUGAUUUUUAUAUAAUAUAAUCAUAACAUAAUAUAAAAUAACAUACGAGACAAAAAAUUUCAUAUACAAUUCUGUAAAGUGACAAUAAAAGUGACUUAUCUAUCAACUUUUUUCACUAUCACUUCUAAAAAAUCAAACUCUACCUUACGUAAAGUUGAUAGAGUACGAUUAACUUCUAAAUUUGAAAUCACUGUUUAUAUAUUCGAUACUGGCCGUAAUUUACAAAAAUAUUCUAUAGUAUUAGUAAGAGGGAGAAUGAUUAAAGAUUUAAUUGGUGUGAGAUAUUACAUUGUUCGAGAAACUUUAGAUGUUAUUAGAAUAAAUGAUCGUCAAUAAGAGCGUUCUAGUACGUUAUACAUUCUUAUUCAAGAUUUUGUAUCAUUUGACGAUGUCAUGUGAAUCGCUACAAACAUGUUGAGUGUAUUGGUCAACCGAUUGUUGAAACUUUUACUCGAGGGGAUGCUCUUAAUCCAUUAAGUAUCGCUUAUUCUGGUGUUUAUAUUAGUGUCAGAAUACAAUCGAUUUAUAUAUUAAUGAAAAUUUUUAUAUUUGAACUCUUUUUUUAUUAUUUCUUAUAUGUCAUAUCUUUAAUAGGGGGUUAGCUACACCUACAACCGAAAUGAAAACUGAGUGUUUCGUGGUUUAAAAAUGUCGAACCUCGUCUCAACCAUCAUUUAUCAUGACUUUUUAGGGUAAGUUCCUUGGCGUGAACACGGUAACAAGAAACACAUAAAUGAAUAUAAUUUAACUUGAAUUUAUAAACUAAUAAAAUUAUAAAUAAAAUUAGAAUAUAUUCAGUUUUAAUAUUAAAAUAGUAAUGAAUUAAUUACGUCUUAGAUGUUAUAUGCUAAUUAAGAAAACGGAACCGUAGUGUAGCGUGGAUUAUGUGGUCUGAUAACUGCAAUCAUCAAUUCAUUAUUUUCAUAUACAUACACUCUUAGGGAUGAAGAGUCCCUUAAAACUCAAACAAGUCGCACGUGUGGAAUAAAAUUUCUUUUGCACGUGCGAAAUAAUUUCCCCUCUUAUGUUUUUUUGGCUGAAAAAUGGCCUAGCACCCACCUGAAAAAAGUACCCUUUUACAGAGUAUGAAAGAAGGUAGUCCACGAAACCUACACAUGAAUUUUGUCAUUAGUCUUACAAUCAUGCAGUUUUACAAAUCAAGAACCAAGUUAUUAACAGUAACCUCAGUAAUUCCGAUCAGAGCUAUCCACCGAUUUAUUAGAUGAGGCAGAGAAAAGAAUAUGUGAAUCACCCACUAACUAUACAUGUGUCACACACCCAUUCUUACACAGCAUUAAUAUGUUGUAUUGUUUGUCUCCAUCAUACGCAAAUUUCAAGACAUUCAUCGGUGGAAGGUUGACUACUAUGAGCAAAUGGUGGCAAAUUUAGCUACGUCAAACGUUGGAGAUUGCUACUAAAUAAUGAUUACACUAUUCCCUAAUAUCAAUCCUCUAUAUAUACUAUAUGCGUAUAUAAAGGCUCAAGCAUUUGCUUGGUUAGUAAAACUGGAAUCAUCACUGUAAGCAAAGCCAGAAAAAUAAGUUCUGUACUUGUGAUUAUCAAAGUGAGGGAGAGCUGUGAAACCAUGGCUGCCAACAAUGUUGGGUCUGAAACUAAGCUUCUAGAUGAGAAAUCCCUUGAGAAUGAUCACUACAAGAUAUUCUGUGAUGAUUCCAGCUCAGUACGGCGAGAAGGUAAGGGUGAGUUGGUUUUUCGUGACCCUGAAGGUAAUGUCUGCAAGAUAAGUACUAUCGCCGACGAGGUUGGAAGGUGGAAACAGGGAGAACAGCCUGUUAAUGUGCCCUUAACAAAAACUAUCAGCCCUUCCGAGGGAAAGGCCAAGAACCAGAAUUAAUUAAAAAUUAUAUGUAUAUAUAUAUAUCUAUAUUAUUGCUAAAGGGUUGACAAUCUUUGCUAUACAUAUAUCUAUAUGCUUGCUAUCUAUAUAUAUAUUUACUAGCUAUAUAUAUAUAUUAUUGUUAAAGGGUUGACAAUCUUUGCUGUCAACCAAAAAAUAAACAGUGUGUUGUACAUAUCUCUGAUUUUAUACCAGAGGAUAAUGUAUUGUGUGAUGCUUGUAUCAGUGUCUAAUCCUGUUUUAGUAGGCUUUAAGUUAACUGAAGGUUACUUAGUUAAUUUACAAAGCAUUUUCUUCUUUUUCUACUUAUUUAUGCUUCAAAUUAUAUAAGCAUGCUUGUCAUAAUAUGUGUAUGCCGACCAGGUGUAUGGCUUGGUUAAUCACUAAGUUAGUCCUUAGAGCCCUGCAUCAGAUUCUCUAAGCUGCUAAUCAGCUGUUGUCUGCUGCUUGUGUCCCUCAUUAUGGCCGAUAUAUAUAUAUAUAUAUAUAUAUGUAAAACUAACCUAACAGGGUCUCAUCUGUGUGCCUGUAUAUAUAAAUAUACAUAUAUAUAUAUAUAUAUAUAUAUAUAUAUAUAUAAGCUGAUCCUUGUUUAUUUAAGGGUGUCGGACAUACAAGACAUAAGUUCUUUAUAAUAGAUCUGCAAUAGAGAUCAUACUACAAUAGAUCAGUAAACUUAAUCUAAUCAGUCUCUCAUGUUGAAAGUUCCAGUGAGAUUAUUCUUGGAAUUGUUGUACUUCCCUUCGUUGAAAUUGGCAAAUUUACCGCUGUAAUUCUUGGUAUCACGGUGUGUGAUUUCAUUGAAAGCUCCAGUGAUGGAAGUGUCAACGAAGUUGUGGUUUCCAACAGUGUUGGCCUGGGAAGCAAUUCUGCCAUUGUUGUUGAAAACCGGCCCUGGAGCAGGCCGAAAGUGAGAGCCAUAGUCGUAUUCGCAGUCAUAAUCGUAGUCAGUCUCGUAUUCUUCUUCAUCUUCUUCGUGCAUUUGUCUCCAAGCCUGCUCCUUUCGUCUAUUCAUUGGACCGAGUCUUUGAUCUGUCGCUAAUUAACUCCGGUGGGUUUAUUGGUGUAUGGUUAGUUUUGAAGGUGGCUUCACUAGCUAGCUCCUUAUAUAGAGUGAUCAAAUGUUGAAAACAGUCCAAUGCCCAUUAGGCUUUUUUUGGGAUAAGAAGGAAUCUUAUUUCCUUUCAAACAAUAGCAAGCACUAUAAUAAAAGAUCAUGGAAUAU
rnacentral:lncRNA from 1 species